rnacentral:rRNA from 1 species
AUUGAACGCUGGCGGCAGGCUUAACACAUGCAAGUCGAGCGAGCGGCGGACGGGUGAGUAAUGUCUGGGAAACUGCCUGAUGGAGGGGGAUAACUACUGGAAACGGUAGCUAAUACCGCAUACCAUAGGAUGAGCCCAAGUGGGAUUAGGUAGUUGGUGAGGUAAAGGCGCACCAAGCCGAAGAUCUCUAGCUGGUCUGAGAGGAUGACCAGCCACACUGGGACUGCGACACGGCCCAGACUCCUACGGGAGGCAGCAGUGGGGAAUAUUGCGCAAUGGGGGCAACCCUGACGCAGCCAUGCCGCGUGAAUGAAGAAGGCCUUCGGGUUGUAAAGUUCUUUCGGUAGCGAGGCGUUAACUACAGAAGAAGCACCGGCUAACUCCGUGCCAGCCGCCGCGGUAAUUC